rnacentral:rRNA from 1 species
CUGCCUUGAAGUGUGGAUAACUCCGAAGAAAUCGGAGCUAAUACCGCAUGUGAUUGUAAAAUUAAAGUUGGGGAUCGUAAGACCUGACGCUUCAAGAUGAGCCCGCGGCCUAUCAGCUAGUUGGUGAGGUAAUGGCUCACCAAGGCUAAGACGGGUAGCUGGUCUGAGAGGACGACCAGUCACACUGGAACUGAGACACGGUCCAGACACCUACGGGUGGCAGCAGUCGAGUAAUUUUUCUCAAUGGGCGAAAGCCUGAAGGAGCGACGCCGCGUGGGGAUGAAUGGCUUCGGCCCGUAAACCCCUGUCAUUUGCGAACAAAUUGCUUCAACUAACACGUGAAGUAUUGAUUGUAGCGGAAGAGGAAGGGACGGCUAACUCUGUG